rnacentral:lncRNA from 1 species
UUUUCAGUGGUGUUGGCUGGCUGGGGGAAAGAUGGAGAGGGGAGGGGUGAAUAGAAAGUAGGCAGGCUUCUGGGUGGAUGGGGCCCAGCACCCACAGCCUAGGCUGGCUGCCUGAGAGUAGCGAGUGACAGGUAAGGGCUCUGAACCUUCCUGCGUGCUACCCAAGGAGUGCCUAGGGCUACCAGGAGGCCCAGGGAGGAACCUUGAGACCUGAGAAAGGCUUUUCUUCCCCGAGAGGACCACUGCUCAGGCUCAGAGGCCAUGGGGUGAAGUGCACAAAAAAGUGGGCGUCCAGCCAUGCUCUAAGUCCCCCGAAGAUGAAGACCAGGGAGCAGCUUCCUCCAAUGAAGCAGCAGCAAUCAGAGGACCAGGAGGCUGAAGCCCUGAGCCCAGCCAGAGGCAGGAUCAGCCAAGUCUGGGACAGGCUUCAAUUAUUUUAGGAUGGAGUCUUGCUCUGUUGUCCAGGCUGGAGUGCAAUGGCGCGAUCUCACCUCACUGCAACCUCCACCUCCCCGGUUCAAGCGAUUCUCCUGCCUCAGCCUCCUGAGUAGCUGGGAUUACAGUCGUGUGCCACCAUGCCCAGCUAAAUUUUGUAUCUUUAGUAGAGAUGGGGUUUCACCAUGUUGGUCAGGCUGGUCUUGAACUCCUAACCUAGUGAUCCGCCCGCCUCGGCCUCCCAAAGUGCCAACACUCAUCACCACUCUUGCAUCUCAGAAAAAGUACAAGAAAAUAUGAAUGAAUAUUUGUUAGCUCUUUGGCGGAGUAAACACAUUAUAUGCUUUGAAGCAACAGAAGAAAUCACAGAGAACAAUUAACAGACUUAACUCUAUAAAAAACUUUACACUUCUGUACAAAAAUAAAAUAAGAAGACAUAGGGAAAUAUAUUUAUAGUAUGUGUGCACAUAUACACACACACCAACCAGAAAUAGAGUGAAUAUAUGUAAUUACAUAAUGGAUUCCCUCAGAGUGGAAAAAUAAUUUAUGUUAUAUUCAUACAGCGGAAUUUAUUUAGCCAUUGAAAUGAAUAAAAUGGAUCUUAAAAUCUGUCAAAAUGAGUUUUUAAAAAGCAAGUUGCAGGAUGCUAAGUUUAGCAUAUUAUCAGUCACAUAAAGUUUAAAAACUAAUGAAUGUGUGUGUAUGUUUAUGAGUGUGUGAGAAAAAGAGAGAGAGAAAUAUAGAGAGAGAUGACCAAGGACUAAAACUAUUAAAAUGUGGAAGGGAAAGAUGUAAAGCAACUGUAAGUGGUAAAUUACCUCUGGAGGAGAGGGUAGGAAAUGGUAACUGGGAAGGUUACAAAGGGAGCUUUAAAUAUAUCUGUUACUUUUCCAUAUGUCUGAAAUAUUCUGCAAUUAAAAAAACAGGACUUACAAGUUGCUAAGGAAGAACUCCUAAAAUUCCAAAAUAUGUAUGUAAAAACAACAUGACUAAACAAUUUAUAGGAAAGGAAAUAUAGAAAAAUGUAUAGCCUCCUUAGUAAUCAAAGAAGAUUAAAAUGAGACACAAAUCAUAUCUAUUAAAUUAGUUUUAAAAGUUUUUUACAAGAAAAAACAUUGUCUCAUGUACUCCAGAAAUUAGUAUGAUGUUUUAAAUGUAUAUACAAGAUAUAGAAUCUUAUAUUUUCAGAGUGGAAUAUAUGAC